GACGAACGCUGGCGGCGUGCCUAAUACAUGCAAGUUGAGCGCUGAAGGUUGGUACUUGUACCAACUGGAUGAGCAGCGAACGGGUGAGUAACGCGUGGGGAAUCUGCCUUUGAGCGGGGGACAACAUUUGGAAACGAAUGCUAAUACCGCAUAAAAACUUUAAACACAAGUUUUAAGUUUGAAAGAUGCAAUUGCAUCACUCAAAGAUGAUCCCGCGUUGUAUUAGCUAGUUGGUGAGGUAAAGGCUCACCAAGGCGAUGAUACAUAGCCGACCUGAGAGGGUGAUCGGCCAAAUUGGGAAUGAGACACGGCCCAAACUCCUACGGGAGGCAGCAGUAGGGAAUCUUUGGCAAUGGACGAAAGUCUGACCGAGCAACGCCGGGUGAGGGAAGAAGGUUUUCGGAUCGGAAAACUCUGUUGGUAGAGAAGAACGUUGGUGAGAGUGGAAAGCUCAUCAAGUGACGGUAACUACCCAGAAAGGGACGGCUAACUACGUG
rnacentral:rRNA from 1 species